CCAGACCUACGGGAGGCAGCAGUGGGGAAUAUUGCACAAUGGGGGAAACCCUGAUGCAGCAACGCCGCGUGAGUGAAGAAGUAUUUCGGUAUGUAAAGCUCUAUCAGCAGGGAAGAAGAUGACAGUACCUGAUUAAGAAGCCCCGGCUAACUACGUGCCAGCAGCCGCGGUAAUACGUAGGGGGCAAGCGUUAUCCGGAUUUACUGGGUGUAAAGGGAGCGUAGACGGCAUGGCAAGUCUGAAGUGAAAGCCCGGGGCUCAACCGCGGGACUGCUUUGGAAACUGU
rnacentral:rRNA from 1 species